GGACAGGUGCUGGCUGUGUCACACGUCCCUGAGGUGCGAGCAGCAGGUCCCGCUCCACGGGAGAAACCCGUGUGAGUCCGUCUGCACAGCAUCUUAACCCUGCACCCUCACCACAUCAGCCCUCUGAGGGACGGGAUCCAGCCUCCAGGCUAGAAACUGGGCUAAAAUAGAGAUGGGUUCUGUCCUUCAUAGACAAACCAUGCCAUUGCUGUGGUAGAACUCACGGGAGUGGAAGGAAAGGUGACCCCAGUUGGGUUCAAGGCAUUCUGCAGGCAGCAAGGGAAUAAGAAAGAUCCAUUUCACAUGAUGAAAAGGGCAUCUUUGAAAAGAAACUCCUGGAAAUGGGUGGCUUGAGGACACGGAAGGCAAUAAAUAAGGAAGACCCAGCUAAGGGGGUAGAACACUCCUGAUGUCCAUGCACGGGUGAUGCGGGAAGUACAAACUUCAACAGAACAUGCUGAAAAGUCUGCACGUUUCCUGGGUGUGAUGCAUGUUAAACUCACAUUACUCAUGUUAAACAGGAGCACAGAGGUUUAUUUCAGCAGAAUAACAGCUCUUGUAAACAUAAACAAUAAUGAAGGAGAAAAGCAAAUUCACCUGGGAGACAACAGAAGUAGAAAAACAAAGAGCUUAUGCUAGAGCCAGGCCUAAGCCCAAAACCUGUUCAGCCUCCAUCCCCAAAAACACUGAUACACAGCUGACCUCUGUAAAAUCCUGCUCAGGUACUUUUCAAGCCCUUGUGCUAUUGAACAUAACAAUUUACAAGCCUUCUGGAAACACGAUAUGGAAGGACAACAACACUGUAAAAGCUGAGUGUAAACUAUACCAACACACACACAAGCUGGAUGCAAGUACUUAGUCUCUUCAGCUCUCCUUUAUAUUUAUUUAAAGCCAGAAUUUUAUAUUAUGUUAAUAUAUUUGUAUAAUAUAUAAUAUAGUAUAUAUUAUGUUAAUUAAUAUAAUAUAAUCAUAUUAUAUUAUGAUUAGCUAGAACUCAGCAAUCCAUGACCUCUUACCAGUGUGAUGGACCAAGGCAAUGGGAAACAACAGAUUAACAACUUAAAGUUAAAAAACCCAUAAAGUUACAAAUAGAUGCUCUUUCUAUUGCCCGUGGCUUCAUUCUGCAGCAACAUUAAUGUGUCCCCAGGGAAUAAAUAGGGCCAUAUAAUGGCAAUUAUUGUCAUGGGCUCAUUGCAGACAUGACCUCACCCUCAGGACUUGGAAUCUGCCCCUGACUGGGCUGUAGCUCCAGAGGAAUUUUAAUGAUGGGGUGUGAGGGUCAGGCUGUGACACCUCUUUUGCAUAAUAGAAACCCAUCUGGUGGGGUUGCCUGGGGCUGAUUGCUAUCUGAGCUCCCUCAGGGUCUCCGAGGAAUGAGUUGGGUCAACAGGUAGCUGAACACUCAGACCCAGUGCUUUAGUUACUGUAAGUGCCCUGACAGAAAUAUUAAAAAUAUUCUAUGGUGCAGCCUCAAAUUUGAACACUUGAAAAUCAUCUGGUUUGGAGUAACACUUGUUUUCCUCAUAGAUCUAGAACAGCCUUUUCCUAUUGUACCCCAAAUAACAGACAAGUCUGUCUUGUGCUCUCAGCUUUUACCCAUCUGUAGUUCUGUGUUACCUGCUAGGGACACUCACUUUACCCAGAAUCUCAGAAAGGCAUUCAGCAGCACCCAGGAACCUGGAGAAAAGUGUGACCUAGCAGUGACCUGUUAACCUACAGACUGCUCACACCUUCAGCUGCUGGGAGCUACCAGGCUUGGUGGGAAGACAUCUGCUGUAGUGCACAAGCAUUCUCAGCUAACAGACAUCUCUCCCAAUUACUCUGCAGAAAGCUAAUUCCAGCUCCCACUUGGCACCAAAUCCAAGUAUCCCAGGACCCCUUUUAAAUGGUGAAUGAAGCCUUCGUUUUGUCAGCCUCUGCCAUGCCAGUCCAUUAACCUCAGUGAAUUACCUUGGAGUCCCCAUCCAUCAAAGUGUCUGUCUACCUGAUGAAAUGAAGAGUUAUUUCUUGGGUCUGUCGCUAUGUGCCAGCUCAACAGCUAAAGCAUUUAUUCAAUAUGAUUAAUCUAUUAUAUCCUAACUGUGGUAUCUGCCCUGUCAAUCUAAAGACAUGGCCAGAAAAAUUCCCAGGAACAUCAGAGACAACAGCAAUGAGACUGACAAAUCCCAUGUGUAUAUGGCAUGCUAGGGGCAUCCAGGAAAGCAUAAAUUCCCUCCACUUCCCACACUGGUGUUGGAACACUGCUUCAUUUGAGAAAAAUGAACUUUGAUAGGAAGCAGAAAGGGCAGGAACAACUCAAGGGGCAGCAAGAAGCAUUUCACAAAUAGCUCCCAGUGCCUAAGAGAACUGAAAAGACCUCUGGUAAGAAAGGUGCUUUCAGGGUGAAGAUAAGAUCUCAUGAUGAGCAUCAGUACCCAGAAGUACCAUGCCUCUCACCUGUUGAAAUGUCUGGGAUCUCCCAGAUCUGUACCAUCACUUUGGUGUUUAGGCUUGCUCCACCAGAAUUCCACCCCACAGCCUGCAGGAUCCCCAGUUGUGACAACACUGACCAAAUGAAGUCAGUCACGGCUGACUGGUACCUGCCAUUGCACCUAAUCUCCAUCCAGCACUGCAGAACAUGGCCAGCUACUGCCUUUAUUGCUUUUAUUCUUUCACUGUAAUCUAGUCCUUGAACCUGGUCCCUCUGAGUUGAAAGAGGCUGAAAUGCUGCAAUAUCUGAAAUACUGCUAGCAAGGAGCCAGCUGUGGACCAAGCACCACAGCACUGGUGACAGAAGAAAGCACUUAGCACAGAGCAUAUAUACCAGGGUGAUUUACACAGAAGGAUAGGUAGGUUCUCACUAUUCAUUCCUGAAUAUUUGCUGGGCUUGCUUCAAUUACAAGGCUUAGUGGCAUGAACUUCAGAUGUAUGAUGCUAAGUAUUUUUCUAAGGUCAUGGGCGGUAAUUGAAAGACGACUUUGAUACUCACAUUAAAAACUACUCCUAAUAGGGAGCAGCUCUGAAAUCAGCCCAGCAUGAUGUCUUUCAGUCUUGGUAAUAAUGAAUACACAAGCAACUCAUAACAGUCUACUUGGUGGAAACAAAACAUAAUUUGGCUGGUCAUUUGCUUUUGUUCGUCUUUUGUUGGGGAAAAGGGAGGGGAGACAAGUCCUGUGGCAAUGGCAUUGAACGGCCCAUCUCCGUUUUGAAUCUGCUGAGAUUAAAUAUAUCCUUUCAACAACAAAGGCUGAACUCUGAUCAAAGCCCCACCAGCAGCACGCCCUACAUUGGGACACACCAGAUCCUAAUUCCUGCAAGUGCCCAAGGGAAUGUGAGUCUGCCAUCAGUCAAGUAAGACAAGGACAAGAGAGAGCACUGUAAUUUUCAGUUCAGCCCAACAAACCCUGCAGCCUCUUGGCUUGCAGUAACCUGGAAUGCAUCCUGCAAACAAUUAGCAAAAUGGCUUUUCCAAGCCCAUCAACACCACAUGGCUUUUCUUUGAUAUUGUUUUGUUCUUCUUACCCUCCCUCCCAAGAGCUUUUUCAGGAACCCCACACACAUGCUGCUGGGAGUACAAUUAUAGGACAGUGUGUUCAAGUAAAAUUCAUUCAGCAUGUUUCUGGGAUCCCUUGUUUUUAUGCAAGGGCCUCUGUACCUCUUCUGCCUGCACCCAGUGUAAGUGCAGUUGUAUGAGAUGCUUGGACAAGCAAUUGCCCAUCAUGUGCAAAUAAAGGCUUGUUUUGUCAAGCAAAUAUAUAUGUGCAAAAAUGUACAGUCCUGUGUUGUAAUUGUCUAAAAUACCAUUGUGGCACGACAGUGAGUUACAACACGCACAGGGAUAGCUUGUCUCUAAGUAAUUAUUUGUGUUCUGCACAGGCCCUCCCAGAGGCUCCUCUCCAGCUGUACUGCAGUCAUUUAUGUAGGACAAACACUGACGUUAAUAGACUGAAUAAAAAAAAGUAUUUUCUGUACUUACAUCUCAGCUUGCAGAACUUCUAUUAUGGCUCAGUUAUAGCUUUUUGCAGGAUGGAUAGGGGAUCUGCACCAGCCACCCCCAGGCAGGCAGAGUUUAGCAGUGGGCAAGUGUGUAAUUGCCAUUCUCACCUUGCCUGCUUGUCCUUUGCUCCUGCUCCUGUACUCAGCAGGAGCAAACUUCUCCCAGACUUCUGUGUUACCCAAAGGACCACGCUACUGUUAGCAGCCUACCAAGAGUUUCUGUGUUUGCUGAGAAAUUAUCCCCCAAGUAAGGGCAAGUUACUCACAGGUAACGUGUCCGACAAUGGCAGGUUUGUCUAUUCUGUCCUCUGUCAAUCAGGAGAGAGGGAUCCUGCUGCCAAGCUCUUCUGUUUAUGGUCACUGCAUGGGAAAGGCAGGUGCAAACAAGGGAUAGCCCCCAGAAUCACCAACAUCCAGCAGCUCCUACUUCCCUACUGCUGGUGGUGAGGGUACAAGGAGCAACAGCACAGUACAAAGACUAUGGGCUGGUGAGGUGGGUUGGCCACUUACUGCCCCAGAAAGAAAUGUAGCUUCAAAUCUAGGCUGAGCUAUCAAUGGUCUAUGUGUUGUUGGUAAAGUUUCAUUUCCUCUCUUUCUCUCCUCCAAGACAGAAUCAGGGCUCAAGGAGUAUGUGCAAGUUACCAUAAGUAUGUGGUAUUGGGAAAUUGAUAACUAUUAAUCUAAGUAUUUCUGAGUCAAAAUUCUCUGUCACACUUUUAA